UGAUGUCAUCAGUGACGUCACUGAUGACGUCAUCAGUGACGAUGCCGAUGCCGAUGACGUCAUCAGUAACGCCACUGAUGACGUCAU
rnacentral:pre_miRNA from 1 species